rnacentral:rRNA from 1 species
UACGUAGGGUGCAAGCGUUGUUCGGAAUCACUGGGCGUAAAGGGCGUGUAGGCGGAACGAUUAGCGAGGGGUGAAAUCCCGGGGCUCAACCCCGGAACUGCUCUUCGAACUGUCGAUCUAGAGAAGGUCAGGGGCCGGCGGAAUUCCUGGUGUAGAGGUGAAAUUCGUAGAGAUCAGGAGGAACAUCGGAGGCGAAGGCGGCCGGCUGGGGCCAUUCUGACGCUGAGGCGCGAAAGCGUGGGGAGCAAAC